rnacentral:rRNA from 1 species
GACGAACGCUGGCGGCGUGCCUAAUACAUGCAAGUAGAACGCUGAAGGAGGAGCUUGCUUCUCUGGAUGAGUUGCGAACGGGUGAGUAACGCGUAGGUAACCUGCCUGGUAGUGGGGGAUAACUAUUGGAAACGAUAGCUAAUACCGCAUAAUAGCAGUUGUUGCAUGAUAACUGUUUGAAAGGUGCAAUUGCACCGCUACCAGAUGGACCUGCGUUGUAUUAGCUAGUUGGUGGGGUAACGGCUCACCAAGGCGACGAUACAUAGCCGACCUGCGAGGGUGAUCGGCCACACUGGGACUGAGACACGGCCCAGACUCCUACGGGAGGCAGCAGUAGGGAAUCUUCGGCAAUGGACGGAAGUCUGACCGAGCAACGCCGCGGGAGGGAAGAAGGUUUUCGGAUCGUAAAGCUCUGUUGUAAGAGAAGAACGAGUGUGAGAGUGGAAAGUUCACACUGUGACGGUAUCUUACCAGAAAGAGACGGCUAACUACGUG